rnacentral:lncRNA from 1 species
UAAAAAAAUUUUUUUUUUUUUUUUUUUUUUUUUUUUUUUUUUUAAAGUUAUUCAAUUAUUUUAGUGGA